GUGGGAGGGCCGCGCGGCCUUUCUUACCUCCGCGCUCCGGUCGAGGUGUGCGAUUUCUGGGGUUCCGGGAUGGCGGGUGGCUCCCGUCGGCCGAGGCGCAGGCCGCGGUUGCGCGGCCGCCCUGAGCCUGGUGACGUGCCCGCGGCGGCCCGGCGGGGUCCGAGGGCCCGGGCCCUGAACGCGUGGAGGGCAGCGGCCUGGCCUGACCUCCGCCACGUUGGCCGUGGUACCCCGGGAGGCCCCGCCGCGACCCCCAGCCUGCGUUCCCACGCCAGGAAUUGGGGAGAUUGGUUUGAGUGCAUCUAAGUUUAUUGGUCAUCGACUGUGUGCCAGGCAGCUUUUAAUAGAAGCAAAGAUUUCUCUCGUGUGAACGGGAAAGGCCUGACCGCAGGACUGCAUGUAUGCCUACCCUGUCACAGCGGGAAAUAAUGGGCCACUGAAGGUUUAGGCCCUUGACGGCUGUUAAAGAUGCAGAACUUGGCAGGUGAAAGAUGGAUGCUUGAAGCAGAUGGAUGCUGUUAGCUGAACACCUGGGAGCACAAAGGUGACCUAAGGAUGUCCUUGGUGAAGAAUUUGAAAACUUGAUCGAUCUUCACAGGAGUUGCUUGGAUCAUUUAAAAUCUUCAGGAGUCUGAGGACUACUAAAACUGCUUUUGGACAGUCCAUAAAGAUACAUUGAAAACAGCGUGUCUAUGAAUAAAUACUUAAGUGUGCUUCA